AGGAGCAGGCUUUGUCCUGUGACUGCGUACCUUUUGUAUAAUGGGUCAGCGACUUAUAUUCAGUGGCAAGGUUAACCAUCUAGGGGAGCCGUAGGGAAACCGAGUCUUAACUGGGCGUUCAGUCUCUGGAUAUAGACCCGAAACCAGGUGAUCUAGCCAUGGGCAGGUUGAAGGUUGAGUAACAUCAACUGGAGGACCGAACCGACUAAUGUUGAAAAAUUAGCGGAUGACUUGUGGCUAGGGGUGAAAGGCCAAUCAAACCUGGAGAUAGCUGGUUCUCCCCGAAAGCUAUUUAGGUAGCGCCUCGGACGAAUACUACUGGGGGUAGAGCACUGUUAAGGCUAGGGGGUCAUCCCGACUUACCAACCCUUUGCAAACUCCGAAUACCAGUAAGUACUAUCCGGGAGACACACGGCGGGUGCUAACGUCCGUCGUGGAGAGGGAAACAACCCAGACCGCCAGCUAAGGUCCCAAAUUACUACUAAGUGGGAAACGAUGUGGGAAGGCUCAGACAGCCAGGAUGUUGGCUUAGAAGCAGCCAUCAUUUAAAGAAAGCGUAAUAGCUCACUGGUCGAGUCGGCCUGCGCGGAAGAUGUAACGGGGCUAAGUAGUAAACCGAAGCUGCGGCAAUGUGCUUUUGCACAUUGGGUAGGGGAGCGUUCUGUAAGCGGUUGAAGGUGUGUGGUAACGCAUG
rnacentral:rRNA from 1 species